AAUUGUUCGCAAUGGGCGCAAGCCUGACGACGCAACGCCGCGUGGAGGACGAAGACCUUCGGGUCGUAAACUCCUUUCGAUCGGGAAGAACGGCUGCCGGGUGAACAAUCCGGCAGAGUGACGGUACCGAGAGAAGAAGCCCCGGCUAACUCCGUGCCAGCAGCCGCGGUAAUACGGGGGGGGCAAGCGUUGUUCGGAAUUACUGGGCGUAAAGGGCUUGUAGGCGGCCAACUAAGUCCGACGUGAAAUCCCCAGGCUUAACCUGGGAACUGCGUCGGAUACUGGAUGGCUUGAAUCCGGGAGAGGGAUGCGGAAUUCCAGGUGUAGCGGUGAAAUGCGUAGAUAUCUGGAGGAACACCGGUGGCGAAGGCGGCAUCCUGGACCGGCAUUGACGCUGAAAAGCGAAAGCCAGGGGAGCAAAC
rnacentral:rRNA from 1 species